UACGGAGGGUGCGAGCGUUGUCCGGAAUCACUGGGCGUAAAGGGCGCGUAGGCGGCGCGGGAAGUCCGUGGUGAAAGCCCGAGGCUCAACUUCGGGUCGGCCAUGGAUACUCCUGGGCUUGAGCACUGUAGAGGCAGGUGGAACUCCGGGUGUAGCGGUGGAAUGCGUAGAGAUCCGGAAGAACACCGGUGGCGAAGGCGGCCUGCUGGGCAGUAGCUGACGCUGAGGCGCGACAGCGUGGGGAGCAAACAGG
rnacentral:rRNA from 1 species